UACGUAGGUGGCAAGCGUUGUCCGGAUUUAUUGGGUUUAAAGGGUGCGUAGGCGGCCCUGUAAGUCAGUGCUGAAAUAUCCCAGCUUAACUGGGAGGGUGGCAUUGAUACUGCGGGGCUAGAGUACAGAUGAGGUAGGCGGAAUUGACGGUGUAGCGGUGAAAUGCUUAGAUAUCGUCAAGAACACCUAUAGCGAAGGCAGCUUACUAGGCUGCAACUGACGCUGAGGCACGAAAGUGUGGGGAUCAAACAGG
rnacentral:rRNA from 1 species